rnacentral:rRNA from 1 species
UAAGGAAUAUUGGUCAAUGGACGCAAGUCUGAACCAGCCAUGCCGCGUGGAGGAUGAAGGUCCUCUGGAUUGUAAACUUCUUUUAUCUGGGACGAAAAAAGGUUUUUCUAGACCGACUGACGGUACCAGAUGAAUAAGCACCGGCUAACUCCGUGCCAGCAGCCGCGGUAAUACGGAGGGUGCAAGCGUUAUCCGGAUUCACUGGGUUUAAAGGGUGCGUAGGUGGAUUGGUAAGUCAGUGGUGAAAUCUCCGAGCUUAACUCGGAAACUGCCAUUGAUACUAUCAGUCUUGAAUACCGUGGAGGUCAGUAGAAUAUGUCAUGUAGCGGUGAAAUGCUUAGAUAUGACAUAGAAUACCAAUUGCGAAGGCAGCUGGCUACACGAGCAUUGACACUCAGGCACGAAAGCGUGGGGAUCAAACAG